CUCUCUCGCUUCAGCCUGCUGCCCCGUGAGAGUCUGACACUUCAGCCUGACUCUGUCAUUUUCACAGUAACACAUCCCACAGCCUCCAUUCUUCCACAAAGAGAUCAUAUCUCUGCUCCUCUUUAUGCCUCUCAACAUAAAGCCCUCCUCAUAACACAGUGGGAAAAAAGGAACAACAAAUAGGAAACCAUGCCAGUCUUCAGUGAAUGCAUGUGUGUUUGGAGCCACAGUUUUCAGACAAGACAAGAGUCCUCCCAGUUUUAUGUGUCAAUCAUUUGAUGUUCCCAGAAUAACGGGGGCUGGCACAAAGAGAGGGUGCUGGGAAGCAUUAGGCUGACAGAGUGGAAGUAGGGCAGGGACAGGGGGUGACGAGCAGGUCUGAACAGUUAUGCUAAUAGCUCAUGUUCUCCUGGUUGUUGUGAACAAAGUGAAAAGAGGACGAUUAGCACCAAGAAAUGAGCCAUCAGCCACCAGCCGUGAACUUCCUGUUUUGGUUGGAUCUGCAGAGUGGUGCAGCUGAAAUUCCCUUGUCCGCGCUGAAGCGUGUUUAUUUAGCCAAGAAAUUUAGAGUAAACUCAACUGCUGCUGAUACAUCCUCCAAACAACCAAACAAAGUUUAUAUAUUCUGAUAUGGUUAUUCUGCAUUGACAACAACAUCUUUUCAUAUAUUGUCCUGUGAUUAGUCAGAAAAACAAACCAGUUUAUGCAAAACACCCCCAGACUGAGAGACGGCCCAAUGAGACAACACAACAAACUAUCACAACACCAGGAUUUUGUCUUUGUCUGCUGGACCUCCCAUUGCAUGUCCCAGUAAGGUAACAGGCACACAACAAAAGACGCCAUAAUGGUUAAGAAAAGGGUCAUUUCACCCAACAUAAGGGGCCUUUUUGCAGGCUUUUCCCCUCCUUCCUAGCUCUUCAAUUUGUACAUUUUGAUGUGGAAAUAACUCAAACUUGUCAACAGCCGUCAGAGGUCCCCUGAGUUUACUGAGUUCUUAGUGGAAAUAUAAACCUGCAGGGUCUCUAGUGAAUAUCUUGUUUCAUGUAACGCUGUGUUUUCUUGAGCGCAGAAAGGUUCAAACUGCUCUCAGUUAUCACAGCUCUCAGUCUGUGAAGAAAAAAUCUGGCAUAUUUCUCUUAGUUUCUUGUGUAUGGUGUGAAAGCGAAUACAUUUCUAGUCUAACAAUAGGAUAAAAGACAUGAUGCUCAACAUGUCCAGGCAUGCCAGCGUGUAACCCAGCGACCUUUGGAUCACAGAUGGUCAUUUAACGGUCAUCACAAUCCUGUGAAUAAACACAUUUUAGUGUUGUAAGUUUGUAUUUUGUGCUGUUUUAAUGUUAAGGCUUGUUCUGCUCAUUUAUAAAGGGGCAACAUUUUAAUUUUUCUGAAAAAAAUGUGUUAAAAUAUUUAUUGUAAUACUACCAGUGAUUGGAGUUAAGAAAGUGGGCCACAUAUACAUGCUAUUUUAUGUUUGACUUUUGUUUAAACGGAACAUCCUAAUUUAUGCUAUUAAAUCAAUUUAGUAGCCCCCCCCCCCCCAUCUCCCUCUCUCCCCUCUUUAAACCCAGCUCAAUCUCAGCAGAUGACUUCUGCCCUGUUAAAAGAAGUUCUUCCUCUUCACUGUAACUUGAUAAAUGCUGCAAAGUGCUAACUACACUCGUGUGGUUGAAGAUGGGAUGAGAGUGGGUCUGAUCUUAAAAGACGGGGCUCAAACUUAUCCCACCUUUACACCUUUGGGUCUUUGUAAACAGAUUUUGGUGUGGACUGGUUGUGAAUUGCCACUUCAUAAAUAAAGAUUGACUGGUUGAUGGUACAGAAUCUGAAUACUCCCUUCCCCGUCAACUACAACUAUCAGCAUAUUUUAAUCCAAACUCAGAGAAAGUGUAAAAUUUUCUACUUUUACAGUGACUGUCUGUGUGACAGUGGGAUUGCCUCCUUGUUUUAACCACAGAGACAAGCAGAGAUUUUUGUACCUUUGCACAAAACACGAACUGUAAAUUAAUAAAGUAUUAAAUCUGAAAGAACAUUUUUUUUAAACAUUUUUUUGGGUUUAUUUUUCCAUUAUUGAUGGAAAAGGGUAAAAUGUGGGGAGAUAGAGGACAUGAAGCACAUGGUCAGACCUAGACUCAAACCCACAACCACUGCAGGGACCAUGGUCCCCAUACAUAGGGCACACUAACCCACUUGGCUAUCUGCACACCUCUGUGAACAGACGUUUUACCCACUGAGUGCGCAGAGGAUUGUAAUAAUGUAUUUUUUAUUGAUAAUAAAUUUUCUCAGUUUUUCAUUGUGAAAUGUGAUCACUCUGUUGUUGUAACCAAUGCUCGAUAUGUAAAUUGUAAAUAAUGUUAACGAAGCCUGAUCAAGGUACCUCCAUCAAUGGCUGCCUAACAUCUUAAAUCCAAUUUUAUAUGCUGCUAUCACAGUCAACAUCAAUUUGAGGUCUAUUCAGACUGAUGGGAACUCUUUGUGUGGAUCAAUAAAAAACAGCUUGUAUUUAUUUGUUUCUCCAGCAGCUGAAGACCCCUCAGCCGUGGCCCUUGGAGAAUUUCCUGUAUGUUGCACAGGGAGGGAAAUUUAAACUGGGUUCUGAGGAGAGGACGCCUGCUCCCCUGGCUCUCACUCGGGGUGUGACCUAUAAUCCCAUCAGAGCUAGUGUGUCCAUACUGGGAAAAUAAACCCAGACAGAGACUGAUCCUGCCGCCCAGCUCUCAUCGACCCAUCAAACUUUUUUCUUUACAGCUCUUGUUCACAAUCUGUCAGAAGCGUUCAAUACUAAUGUUCAUGGCUGGAGAUCUAAGACUCAGCCAGUGUUUUAGGUUAUAAUGUGAAAGACUGGAACUUAUUUGAAUCAGUAAGUCAUAAACAAAAGCUUCUAAAAGCAGAAUCUUUAAACAGACUGGAAUGUUAAACAGACUGGAAAUCAAAUAAAUGGUCACAUCAAGAAAGUUGCGGCUUCGAGUUAAUGUCUUCCAUGUUUUCAAUAAGUGAGAUCUGUGUGUAUGUAGACUAUUGAGUUAUAGAUGAGAGAGCACAAAGCUGAAUCUGCUCAUGUGUUUACAGUUUUUGUGUGGUAGAUAUCAGCGAAUAGUGAGACACCUAGACAAGCUUUUGAUAUGUGUAGUGAUUUUUUUUUAAAUAUGAAAGCAUCUCUUAACAGAUGGAGCUAUAAAUACCCUUCCCCACUGUAACUUUCAGACCCCUGACAUGCCGCUACGAUCAAGAGGAAAAUCAUGCUCAUGGUGAGACUGAUUUGUGGGUUUGUGGGUGCUGUGGUGAGGAAGUGGGCCUGUCUGAAGAAAAACUGGAUUUAAUCUCUCUGGUAUUCAGUGGUUUCAUCAUAGUUUGGGGGGUCCAAGAGGAGUUUAGGUUCUGGGGUAUGUUUCAAAAAGGAGAAAAAGAAGUUUUCUUCCAGAGGAUGAAACAGAAGACAGAGUUUAGAAAUGAUCUUUUUCACUCUUUGUCGUAAAGACGGACAGUUUUUGAUCCAAAGUUAAGAGAGGGGGAAGUAACAUGCAUGACCUGCAGAGCUGCACUUGAUUUAAAAAGAGUUGAGGCCAUCUUACUGUGUUUACUAAAAAGAUCAGAAAAACCUACAGUGGACGUGAAGUUUUCUCUCCUCUGAUCACAGGAACAGAAGAAUAAAAACUAGCAGCAGGAAAAAGAACAAAACAGAUUUUCUGUAAACACAAAGUGAUUUUGUCCAGAUAUCUGGAUUGAAUCCAAAAGGGAAAGGAAAGGAGGAUGCUUUCAGCUGCUUUAAUGUUUUAUACUUACACUUUAAAAGUGAUUGGUAUCUCAGAACAAGAGGACUUCCUGCUGUAGAUAAUGGCAACUAGGAUUUCUUCAAAAAAGGCCCUUUCAGAUCAGUGUGAUACUGAAUUGUCUCAAUCUGGUUGCUGGGAGCUCUAACAGGGGUUAUUGAGGCUCCACCAGCUGCCUGUUGGACUCAAAUGGAACUUUUGGUAAGCGUUCUGGCACCAGACGGCACUCGGUUAAGAGAGCCAAAAAUUUGAAUAACAAGUGUUCGGGAAAGGCCAACUGUUUAGAGUCCUCACAAGGUCAGAGAGGAACAAUGGAGGCUGUUUCCUAGUGAACACCAGACUCACACUCUGCUGAGUUUAGAUAGUCUGAAGUCUGAUUCCAAAUGUUCAACUCCAUGGAUUGAACUGUGAGGGGACUGCUGAUAAAAUGACACACCUUUUCACAUGUAGUCUUGUUUUUUUCUGGGUCAAUCUUUUACCUUUCUAUCAGUAGGAGCCAAAUUGUCUUCAGCACAUACAUACAAAACACACUCACCAAGCUGAAGCCACGCCCCUUAUCGCGACAAAGACCUCCUAUGGGGCGUGACAAGAAUGGAAGCUUAUAUAUCCCCCUCAGUGCUGA